ACACACAGGAACAAGAAAAACCUCUAGGUGUGAAAAGGAAAGCGUCGUAGUUGACUUGUAAGUCUUCCUUUCGCUGAAAAAUGAACACCCGAGGGAUUUCUCUCUUUUGCUGUGCAAAUUCGCAAGGAAGAGAAAAAAAGCUCCAGUCUUUUUUCUCACUUCUUGAUCUGAAAUCAGGUAGGACUACCCGCUGAACUUAA
rnacentral:misc_RNA from 1 species